UACGUAGGGGGCUAGCGUUAUCCGGAAUUACUGGGCGUAAAGGGUGCGUAGGUGGUUUCUUAAGUCAGAGGUGAAAGGCUACGGCUCAACCGUAGUAAGCCUUUGAAACUGGGAAACUUGAGUGCAGGAGAGGAGAGUGGAAUUCCUAGUGUAGCGGUGAAAUGCGUAGAUAUUAGGAGGAACACCAGUGGCGAAGGCGAUUCUCUGGACUGUAACUGACGCUGAGGCCCGAAAGCGUGGGGAGCAAACAGGAUUAGAUACCCUGGUAGUCCCUGAGCGGG
rnacentral:rRNA from 1 species